rnacentral:lncRNA from 1 species
GGCCCUGUACUGGGGAAAUGGGGGUAUAGUAGCAAGGGGGGGGCUACAUUCCCUCUUGCCCCCAGCGAGGCAUAGCUGAAAUUAGGGCCGCCUGAGGGGUCCAUGUAUAACCAACUCCAGAGGUGGCCGCAUCUCAGCACCGGGCGAGGGGUCCCCUGGUAACCGGCCGCCCCGCCCCAGAGGUGGCUGCAUCUCAGCACCAGGUGAGGGGUCCCUGGGUAACCGGCCGCCCCGCCCCAGAGGUGGGCGCAUCUCAGCGCCGGGCGAGGGGUCCUUAGGUAACUGGCCGCCCCGCCCCAGAGGUGGGCGCAUCUCAGCACCGGGCGCUGGGGGGAAGAUACACUAGGUUGGGACCAAGCAGGCAUCAGCCCCAGAAUUUGCAUGUGAACAAGGUGAGUCAAUGCCAGCUGCUGAGGGCAUGAUGGGGCACCAGUCCCUGGGUACGUGAACCCAGGAGUCCUGGCUCCCAGCCCCCCCUGCUGUGACUCACCAGCCCCCACUCCCCUCCCAGAGCCGGGGAGAGAACCCAGGAGUCCUGGCUCCCAGCCCCCCCUGCUCUAACCCACCAGCCCCCACUCCCCUCCCAUUGUGGGGGAGAGAACCCAGGAGUCCUGGCUCCACCGUGUGCCAGGCUCUGCCCCUCUCCACCCCUGCCCCGGGCCCUAGGUCUUUGAGUCCUGGCCAGGGGCGGGGUGGGGCUGGAUGCCAGGCAGCAUCCGCCCUGCACCUGGUAUUUGCCGUGCCCUGAGCAAAGGGUCAUGACCCGGCCAGGCCACGUCCAAUCACCGCGGGGAGCGCUGGGGGGCAGGAGCCAGUGCCCAGGGGAGGGGAAACUGAGGCACAAGUCAUAGAACCCUGGAAUCCUGACUCCCAGCAUGCCCUGCUCUAACCACUUCGUCACCCACGAACAGAGAAGGGGAGGCAGGCAGGCGCCCAGGACUCCGGGGUUCGCGGGAGGGGAAGCGGCUUCUCCUACGGCCCCCCGGCCCUGACGCCCUACAAGCAGGACCCUGCCCCCCACCCGCCGGGGGUGCUGCCGGCCGACUUCCGCGACAUGAUGGCGGCCUACGGCCUGCAGGCCUGCGACAUGGGCGAGGGCUUCCCCCAGCCGCCCUACGAGCCCCCCGGGCCGGUGCCGCUGACGCCCCUCUAGCCCGGGGGGGCCGGGACUGAGGGGGGUGGGGCCUUUUUAUACAGAAAGAAGAAAAACCUCCAGG